rnacentral:misc_RNA from 1 species
GGAAACCUGUUACAAUUGAAUAUGAGUAAGUUCAAUCUGAUCUGUGCAUGUCUAGAUUAAAAGGGUGAUCAAAUGUAUGAAGCAUCCACACUUGUUGGCUCAAGGGAGGGUUGAUGUACGCAACAUUACCCUUGUUUGCAAAGAUGAUGUUUUUGUGGAUCAAACUUGUGACCUUCAGGUCACAAAUGGACACCAAAGCCACCCUCGAGUGCAUGCCCAGAUUACUCAUGAUUAUUGUGCAUGAGAUGAUAUGUAGCCAACAUUAGCAUUGAAAGGAGAAGAAACAAAUAAAGAGCCAAAGUUUUAUCAUAGUUAAAUGUCUUUGCUUAAUUUCAUAUUUGAAGAGAAACAGGAAAACCUCCUUUCUCCUUUUCUUACUUCAUUUUACAAUGUAAGAAAAAUAAAUAACCCAGGAUUCCAAGGAUUUCCUUGUUUGCACCUAAAUUCCAUGGAUUUCCUUGUUUGCACUUAGAUUCCAAGAAUUUGACAAACUAAAGAUAUAUGUACAUGUUGUGAAUUAGUAUGGAUUCUAAGACUAAUAUUGAUAUAGCCCGCCUAAAACCGAGUCAAAUGGUCAAAAGGCUUGGACAAAAGAGCUAACGCAAUGGUCAAAGAAUCAAGAAGUCAAGAGAGACUUGGUGCGAAUGUUAGGUGGCUUAGACGUUAACUUAGGAAUCCCAAACGUAUGAUGCUUGAAUGCUCAAUCGAAAGAUUUGAGCAUUGACCAAACUGAGCAUUAGCUAAGUUGGCUCAACAGAAGGGACAGAUUUGCGAGGAAAAUGCAUCUAAUAACGAUCUUGCCCGUUGAGAAUCUUGGGAUCAUAACUAAGCACUCUAAGAUUCUAGAAACCAUUUCCAUUGGUUAUUAAAGACUUCAAUCUAUAAAUAUCAGAAUAAAACACAGAUCAGACAUGCUUACUCUACUAAAAUCUCCAUUAAACAUUGUUCACAAUUUCCUAAAAAAACACAGAGUGGUUGGCCAAAAGGUCACCGACCUCACUUGUUUUUUAGUGUUACAAACUUACAUCACAAUCAAACUGGUCAAAGGAGACUCACAGCAG